rnacentral:rRNA from 1 species
GAUGAACGCUGGCGGCGUGCCUAAUACAUGCAAGUCGAGCGAACAGACGAGGAGCUUGCUCCUCUGAUGUUAGCGGCGGACGGGUGAGUAACACGUGGAUAACCUACCUAUAAGACUGGGAUAACUUCGGGAAACCGGAGCUAAUACCGGAUAACAUGUUGAACCGCAUGGAUCAACAGUGAAAGACGGUCUUGCUGUCACUUAUAGAUGGAUCCGCGCCGCAUUAGCUAGUUGGUAAGGUAACGGCUUACCAAGGCAACGAUGCGUAGCCGACCUGAGAGGGUGAUCGGCCACACUGGAACUGAGACACGGUCCAGACUCCUACGGGAGGCAGCAGUAGGGAAUCUUCCGCAAUGGGCGAAAGCCUGACGGAGCAACGCCGCGUGAGUGAAGAAGGUCUUCGGAUCGUAAAACUCUGUUAUUAGGGAAGAACAAAUGUGUAAGUAACUAUGCACGUCUUGACGGUACCUAAUCAGAAAGCCACGGCUAACUACGUG